rnacentral:lncRNA from 1 species
CACGUUUAAAAUGUCGAAUUUUUAAUAUUAAGUUUGAAUUUUUUUUCCAAAUCCUCAUAGUUUGGAUUCAUAAUAUAAUGAUUAUAAGAAUUAACUUAACGGGCUGCAAUGGAGCGAGUUGGGUUGUAAGAGCCCAUUUCUAUGAAAAUUAUUGACAGAUCCAGUAUAGAACCUCAUCGGUCACAGGCCAAAAGCCCAAACAAUGUUACUUCUUAUAGAACACAACAAACUCUAACCCAAUCUUUUCCAAUAUCAUCUACUUUCUUCCAUUAUGUGACAAACCCUUAUAAAAGAAGGCCCUAAAAGAAUCCACUAAACACGACACAAUAUCAUUUCAUUUCCUAUACUUUCUUCUUGCCACAAACCCUAAUAAUUUGCAAACCUAAUCUGGACCACAAUUCCCAACCCUACAAAUCUCCUCCACCGUAGGCGAAUCCCAAGCCACAGCUUUCCUCAUCACCGCCCUAAAAUCCUCAACACAUUCCUUAAA